rnacentral:rRNA from 1 species
CUCAGGAUGAACGCUGGCGGCGUGCCUAAUACAUGCAAGUCGAACGAACUUCCGUUAAUUGAUCAGGACGUGCUUGCACUGAAUGAGAUUUUAACACGAAGUGAGUGGCGGACGGGUGAGUAACACGUGGGUAACCUGCCCAGAAGCAGGGGAUAACACCUGGAAACAGAUGCUAAUACCGUAUAACAGAGAAAACCGCCUGGUUUUCUUUUAAAAGAUGGCUCUGCUAUCACUUCUGGAUGGACCCGCGGCGCAUUAGCUAGUUGGUGAGGUAACGGCUCACCAAGGCGAUGAUGCGUAGCCGACCUGAGAGGGUAAUCGGCCACAUUGGGACUGAGACACGGCCCAGACUCCUACGGGAGGCAGCAGUAGGGAAUCUUCCACAAUGGACGCAAGUCUGAUGGAGCAACGCCGCGUGAGUGAAGAAGGGUUUCGGCUCGUAAAGCUCUGUUGUUAAAGAAGAACGUGGGUGAGAGUAACUGUUCACCCAGUGACGGUAUUUAACCAGAAAGCCACGGCUAACUACGUGCCAGCAGCCGCGGUAAUACGUAGGUGGCAAGCGUUAUCCGGAUUUAUUGGGCGUAAAGCGAGCGCAGGCGGUCUUUUAAGUCUAAUGUGAAAGCCUUCGGCUCAACCGAAGAAGUGCAUUGGAAACUGGGAGACUUGAGUGCAGAAGAGGACAGUGGAACUCCAUGUGUAGCGGUGAAAUGCGUAGAUAUAUGGAAGAACACCAGUGGCGAAGGCGGCUGUCUGGUCUGUAACUGACGCUGAGGCUCGA